GGGGGACUGGCCCCAGCGGCUUGGCCCCCAGGCGUCUGUGGCAGUGCGUCCCCUCUCCGCGGGAUCGUCGCCAUGGUCCUGCGAUCCUAGGAGUCGGGCAAGGCCGAACCUGCCUGAAGAAACCUCAAGCGGAGAUUCAAGGAAGCACCACGUGAUCCCUAAGGAUCCCAAAGAUGCGUCGGGCAUGCAUGGGCGGUGUGAGGGUGCGUCUCCCUGACAGGUGUCCCCGCUGGGAUUUCGAGGAAUUAUCCGAUGAAAAGUAGAAGAGGUUGAAUGACUUUCAGUGGCCUUUUCUUCACAGAUUAUUCAGUAAGAACAGUCUCAGGAAAACAGGACCUUCAACAGAGAUAAGAGAAUUAAAAUAUGCAGACUAACAACUCUGGGAAUGGGCUGACCAGCCUGAUAAGAAUAGGCUGAUGGCACCUACAGAAGGCCACAAAACACUGACCAAGAAAGCAAUGACCAACAAAGCAAUGACCUGAGACUGCACAUUUCACAAGAAUGUUUUGAUCAUCAUUUUUUCUAAUUUCCCUUAAAAACCCCUGAUAUGGAGACAGAACUCGGCGGUCUUUGAACACUAGUUCACUGCCUCCCCUGGGUUGUUGGAUUCCUGAAUAGAGCUAACCAUCCUUUCACCAAUGCUCAUCUCUUAAACUUUCAAGUGACAAGUGGUCUGGACCUGAAUUUCGUUACAAAACCUAUGUAUACCUUACCUUACAUGG
rnacentral:lncRNA from 1 species